AUUGAACGCUGGCGGCAGGCUUAACACAUGCAAGUCGAGCGGAGAUGAGGUGCUUGCACCUUAUCUUAGCGGCGGACGGGUGAGUAAUGCUUAGGAAUCUGCCUAUUAGUGGGGGACAACAUUCCGAAAGGAAUGCUAAUACCGCAUACGUCCUACGGGAGAAAGCAGGGGAUCUUCGGACCUUGCGCUAAUAGAUGAGCCUAAGUCGGAUUAGCUAGGUGGUGGGGUAAAGGCCUACCAAGGCGACGAUCUGUAGCGGGUCUGAGAGGAUGAUCCGCCACACUGGGACUGAGACACGGCCCAGACUCCUACGGGAGGCAGCAGUGGGGAAUAUUGGACAAUGGGGGGAACCCUGAUCCAGCCAUGCUGCGUGUGUGAAGAAGGCCUUAUGGUUGUAAAGCACUUUAAGCGAGGAGGAGGCUACUGAGACUAAUACUCUUGGAUAGUGGACGUUACUCGCAGAAUAAGCACCGGCUAACUCUGUGCCAGCAGCCGCGGUAA
rnacentral:rRNA from 1 species